GCUAAGGCUGUAGCUCAGUGGUAGAGUGUUUGCCUAGCACGUGUGAGGCACUGGAUUUGAUCCUUAGUGCCACAUAUAAAUAAAUAAAUAAAAUGGAUGUAUUGUAUUUAUCUAAAACUUAAAAAAUAAAUAAAUAAAGAUUGCAAGUUCAAAGCCAGCUUUAGCA
rnacentral:tRNA from 1 species